CCUACGGGAGGCAGCAGUGGGGGAUAUUGCACAAUGGGGGAAACCCUGAUGCAGCGACGCCGCGUGGGUGAAGAAGUAUUUCGGGAUGUAAAGCCCUAUCAGCAGGGAAGAAAGAAGACGGUACCUGACUAAAAAGCCCCGGCUAACUACGUGCCAGCAGCCGCGGUAAUACGGAGGGGGCGAGCGUUAUCCGGAAUCACUGGGGGUAAGGGGAGCGUAGACGGCCGUGCAAGCCAGGAGUGAAAGCCCGGGGCCCAACCCCGGGACUGCUCUUGGAACUGUGCGGCUGGAGUGCGGGAGGGGUAGGCGGAAUUCCUGGUGUAGCGGUGAAAUGCGUAGAUAUCAGGAGGAACACCGGUGGCGAAGGCGGCCUGCUGGACCGCGACUGACGCUGAGGCUCGAAAGCGUGGGUAGCGAACAGGAUUAGAUACCCUGGUAGUC
rnacentral:rRNA from 1 species